AGAGAUCAUCGACUGUAUUCUCCUAAAUUAAUGAACUCUCCGUCCAAGUGAUUAAUUAAUCAAGUGUUGACUCCCUUUAUUUUCACGAUGUAACAAUAUUCUUGGCACACAUUAAGAACAAAGUAUUGACGUCAGCACCGUUGAAACCCUCCAAGUGGUUCAGGUAAAAUAGGAGAAAGCAGGACAGUUCGUAACGUUGGCGGAAAAGAAAUCUGACUUGGCGCCUGCGCCGCAAUGGAAAAAGGUGUCCUAACCUCGUCUUCGCCUCAGUUGGAGAAUGAAAGAGCGCUACUGAAAUAUUCCAACACCAACUUGAUAUGAACAAAUCGCAUGGUGCAUAAGGUGUUCUCCUUCGGGCCCUACAACUUUGAUCUGACAAUUUUUUCAAUUGGCGCCUUCUUUUAAAAGUUAUUUGACUGUACAAAUUCAAAUAGGAGACCCUGUAUAUAGCAACUACGAAAGAAAAUUAUCAAAAAAUGAUCCGCACAACAUCAUGUAGGUUGUACUAGGUGACGGCGAAUGGUGCAAUUCUAUUGGUCAAUAU